UUUUACUAUUGGCAAUGAUACUCAAAGCACUAGGACCACAUCAAUAUUAUGAUAGUGAUGAUGAAUAUACUCCUGACAGGGUGCCACUCUUGAAGAAUGCUCCACCUCAAUAUGUUGUUGUUGAUCCAGGAUAUGCACAUGGAAAUGAAACAUGGAAUAGGUCAAAUAGGUAAGGCCAUAGCCUUCAAUUUAACCUUGACGUCUGGAUCCAUGGAAAGUGAGGCAAGCAGUCCUUUUUUAUGCCAAUUGGUUUAGAAGAUGACCUACACGCUGGAGACGGAUUAACUAUGAAUCAAUGGCUAUGGGAGAAACAAGUGCUUAUCGUGAUCCUGGGGACAAAUAAACCAUUUUCACACAGUUGUGAGUAAACGUGUGUAAUCAUCAUAUAUCAUGUCUGUUUAUCGUAAAUAAAACACAAUCUCUUGAUGAACAACCCCCUCUAUCUUCUGUUAAAAGUAUCUACGAAGGUGGAUCAAUAGAUAUGAGCAAAUAUUCUUUUGUUUAAACUGGGUUCUCAUCAUUCAUCCAUUGUGGAUACAAAAUGGAGUUUUGGCGUCCA